rnacentral:rRNA from 1 species
GUGUCAGCAGCCGCGGUAAUACGGAGGGGGCGAGCGUUAUUCGGAAUUAUUGGGCGUAAAGGGCGCGUAGGCGGCUUGGCAAGUCAAAGGUGAAAUCCCUCGGCUCAACUGAGGAACUGCCUUUGAAACUGCCUGGCUUGAGGCCGGGAGGGGGUAGCGGAAUUCCCAGUGUAGCGGUGAAAUGCGUAGAUAUUGGGAGGAACACCAGUGGCGAAGGCGGCUACCUGGACCGGUUCUGACGCUGAUGCGCGAAAGCGUGGGUAGCAAACAGGAUUAGAUACCCUGGUAGUCC